GGGGUUGUGGCUCAGUGAGAGAGUGCUCACCUAGCAUGUGCUAGGUACUGGGUUCGAUCCUCAGCACCACA
rnacentral:tRNA from 1 species